rnacentral:misc_RNA from 1 species
CGCAACUUGCGCCCAUUGGUAUUCCAAAGGGCAUGCCUGUUUGAGUGUAAUAUAAACUCAUCUAGUCAGAUUUUCUGGCCAAGGUGGAUUUGGAGGCUUGUCAUUGACUCCUCUUAAAUGUGUGGUGCAGACGUAAUAAGUUUCGUUAUAUGCAUCGUUAUUAUAUAUUGUACUAUCACCUCAAAUCAGGUAGGGCUACCCGCUGAACUUAA